CUAUAGUAGGGGAAUUGGACGCGGUCAACAGUGUCAAUACUGUCGAUAAACAGCUGAUUGGCAUGAUCAGCUGUUUUCCGUGCUUUUAUUUUUCCAUAUUUCUUAACUAUUAAUAAACUAUUAAUGUAUAAUUGUUUCAUUUUAUAUAAAAGACCAAAAUUAGCAUUUAAAAUGGGUCUACACUGGCAAAAUGUGUGAGAAUAAAAGAAUUUAAACAUCGUCAUUUCAAAAAUUUCUAAAAGAUAGUGAGAGAAAAAAUUAAAUGGUUUUCUCUGUUAGGAUUUAUUCAUAGCAUAAUAUUAAAAAGUCGAGCAAAAGAGAACUCAAGAACAGCUGAUUUUUUUAUAAGGAAUUGAAGAAAAUAUUUAAAAUCUGAUGAUUUUCACAGCCAUUUAUGUCGCGAUUUGUGGUCUUUCAGUUGUUUCAACAUCAUCUAGGAAAUUAACAUUAAGAUAUCAGGAUCCUGCAUAUAACAAGAUAAGAACUAUGAUCUUGUUAGGAUACCGUCACAAUAUGAAGUGAAGAUAUUCAUGGUGUGGAAGUCGUUACUUUAAUUACAUAGUGCAUAUGAAAUUGGUCCCUUUACAUCAUGUUUAAAAUUGACGUAAUGCUACUAUGCAAAAUAGUGAGAGAUGUGAACCCUAGGCAGAGCUACAGAAUUACUUUUGUUGAGAGACAAAUUAUGAUAGUGAUUAGAAUCGCAUAUUCU